GGAAUGUUGCCUAAUCUGGCAACAUCCCCCUAGCCAAUCUUAGCCAAUCAGAGAGCGCCCCGCGCCAUGACGUCAUUUUCGCGCGGUUGAGACCCAAGCCAAGUUUCCACUCUUUUUUCGUGAAUUUUGGGCUGUACGCCUGCGUGAAGACCAGUUCAAAGGUUAAAAUACGUCACAUCCACGUAGCCACAGCCUGGGGAAGCCAUAUUGUCCGUGUUUUUGCUUGAAAAACCUUCCGAAAAUCACAUAUUCCGGCGGCGAUUACCGCCAGAUAGGCAGUUGCAGGGUGCCCACAUAAAGGAAUUACGGAGAACUCGCAGGAUGUGCAUUUGUCCACAUGACAUGGGUGCUGGGAAAUUUGUGUAGGCAAUACGGGUACCGGUAGCUCCUAUGGUAGAUUGGAAGAUAUUUCCUAUACCGCAACAGCUGCCACAAUUUCUUUUUUAUCAAUGUUGUUUCUUUACAGUUUACUGAAGUAUUUUCAUUGUAUGCAUGUAUGUUGGUAGGUCUGUUUAUAAAAAUGACAUGAGUACUGAGACUAUGGUAGAAAAGACACCAUCACCAAGAAAUGUAAAUAAUGAUGUGGAAUCAUGAAUCGCAAAGUACAACAAAGAAUGAUCUCAGUUAUUGUUACAGUAUGAACAACUAUGGCCAGUUUCGUAUUGUUACAAUGUGUGGUAUAUCAGAGUUUGCAGCUAUUUGAUGACAAUAAUAGUGACAUUCAAGAAGAUGUUAUGAAUAUUUGGUAGAAUGAUGUAUGUUGUAAUUUUACUUCCAACAUUACUAGUACUAGUAUACUGGUCAUAUUUUGUAUGCUGAAUUAAAGUAAUCUUUGUACUCUGA